AUUGAACGCUAGCGGGAUGCCUUACACAUGCAAGUCGAACGGGAUGGCGAACGGGUGAGUAAUGUAUCGGAACGUGCCCAGUAGCGGGGGAUGACUACGCGAAAGCGUAGGUAAUAACGCAUACUAUUGGCGCGGCCGAUAUCGGAUUAGCUAGUUGGUGGGGUAACGGCUCACCAAGGCGACGAUCCGUAGCUGGUUUGAGAGGAAGACCAGCCACACUGGGACUGAGACACGGCCCAGACUCCUACGGGAGGCAGCAGUGGGGAAUUUUGGACAAUGGGGGAAACCCUGAUCCAGCCAUCCCGCGUGUGCGAUGAAGGCCUUCGGGUUGUAAAGUACUUUUGGCAGGAAAGCGGUACCUGCAGAAUAAGCACCGGCUAACUACGUGCCAGCAGCCGCGGUAAUUC
rnacentral:rRNA from 1 species